rnacentral:rRNA from 1 species
GACGAACGCUGGCGGCGUGCCUAAUACAUGCAAAUCGAACGCUGAAGGAGGAGCUUGCUUCUCUGGAUGAGUUGCGAACGGGUGAGUAACGCGUAGGUAAACUGCAUGGUAGCGGGGGAUAACUCUUGGAAACGAUAGCUAAUACCGCAUAAUAGUAGAUGUUGCAUGACAUUUGCUUAAAAGGUGCAAUUGUAUCACUACCAGAUGGACCUGCGUUGUAUUAGCUAGUUGGUGAGGUAACGGCUCAACAAAGCGACGAUACAUAGCCGACCUGAGAAGGGGGACGGCCACACUGGGACCUGGACAACGCCCAAGCUCCUACGGGAAGCAGCAGUAAGGAAUCUUCGGGAAUUGACGGAAGGCUUGACGGACAACGCCGCGUGAGUGAAGGAGGGUCUCGGGUCGUAAAGCUCUGUUGUAAGAGAAGAACGAGUGUGGGAAUGGAAAGUGCACACUGUGACGGUACCUUACCAGAAAGGGACGGCUAACUACGUG